rnacentral:tRNA from 1 species
GCCCGGCGCGGAAUGCGUCACCGUCCAAGAUGGAAAGAUCGUCUUCAGCCGGUUCCUUUUCGACCGGGCGCCGUUCGAGGCGGCACGCCGGGCG